GUAGGGGUAAUUUUCCGCAAUGGGCGAAAGCCUGACGGAGCAAUGCCGCGUGGAGGUGGAAGGCCUACGGGUCGUCAACUUCUUUUCUCGGAGAAGAAACAAUGACGGUAUCUGAGGAAUAAGCAUCGGCUAACUCUGUGCCAG
rnacentral:rRNA from 1 species